AUCGUUUAUUUGAUAGUACCUUACUACUUGGAUAACCGUGGUAAUUCUAGAGCUAAUACAUGCUGAAAAUCCCGACUUCGGAAGGGAUGUAUUUAUUAGAUUCAAAACCAAUGCCCUCUGGGCUCACUGGUGAUUCAUGAUAACUCUUCGAAUCGCAUGGCCUUGCGCCGGCGAUGGUUCAUUCAAAUUUCUUCCCUAUCAACUUUCGAUGUUUGGGUAGUGGCCAAACAUGGUUGCAACGGGUAACGGANGGUUAGGGCUCGACCCCGGANAAGGAGCCUGANAAACGGCUACUACAUCCNAGGNANGCAGCAGGNGCGCAAAUUACCCNAUCCCGACNCGGGGNNNGUAGUGACAAUAAAUACUGAUACAGGGCUNUUUNNGGUCUNGUAAUUGGAAUGAGUACAANUUAAAUCCNNUAACGAGGAACAAUUGGAGGGNNNGUCUGGUGAACGUUGCUGGUGCCANAAAGAGCCGCCCCUCCCGANGAAAGCGGCUAGUNNNAGCGCCCGUUGCGUGACGGGUGGGCGCCGGCGAGACANCCNGNNUCGGGGAAGGNUAAGGGCCGCAGGCCUAUGNUGAUCCCGAGCGGAGCCGAGAGNCCCGUGUAGAGCGCGCCAAGNUGUNGNUCCNGGGNUCACUCCCGGGGCUUAAGNUACGUGCCAAUCCCCCGCGAAAGCGGGGCCCCCCGACUGAGCACCCGUCGUGCGAGNUCUCGGGGAAGCCACAGGCGGCCCCGGCNNCUGUGGCUGCAAGCCCCGUGGCGGCCUCGCCGCCGCGGGCGCCCAUACAUGGCCAGCAGCCGCGGUAAUUCCAGCUCCAAUAGCGUAUAUUAAAGUUGUUGUGGUUAAAAAGCUCGUAGUUGAACCUUGGGCCUGGCUGGCCGGUCCGCCUCACCGCGUGUACUGGUCCGGCCGGGCCUUUCCCUCUGUGGAACCCCAUGCCCUUCACUGGGUGUGGCGGGGAAACAGGACGUUUACUUUGAAAAAAUUAGAGUGCUCCAGGCAGGCCUAUGCUCGAAUACAUUAGCAUGGAAUAAUGAAAUAGGACGCGCGGUUCUAUUUUGUUGGUUUCUAGGACCGCCGUAAUGAUUAAUAGGGACAGUCGGGGGCAUCAGUAUUCAAUUGUCAGAGGUGAAAUUCUUGGAUUUAUUGAAGACUAACUACUGCGAAAGCAUUUGCCAAGGAUGUUUUCAUUAAUCAGGAACGAAAGUUAGGGGAUCGAAGACGAUCAGAUACCGUCGUAGUCUUAACCAUAAACUAUGCCGACUAGGGAUCGGACGAUGUUAUUUUUUGACU
rnacentral:rRNA from 1 species